rnacentral:lncRNA from 1 species
GCCAAUCAAGCAUUUAUAGAAUAUAUGAAAGCAACUAAUCGAGUGAUUAUAUAUCAUGUUUAAACUAAUCAAGUUGUAAUUAAUAAAGAAACAUUAAGGUUGAUAUUAAUAACAUGGGCAUUUAUUUAUUUUCAAAAGAUCAAAAUUAUAAACAUAAUUUACUUUUAAUUCAAAAUGACUUUAGAUAGAUAUUACUAAAUUAUUUAUGUGCUUCAUGUUUAAAUAAGCAAAUUAUAAUUAAGAAAGUAUUUAAGUUCACAUUUGAUUAUAAAGAUGCCGAAGUGUAAUUCUAAGUUGUUUUUAAAUUAAUUAAAUAGAAAUGCAUUUAAAACAUUAAUCAGAUUAAUUAUACUUAUAAACAUGAGACAAUGAAAAUAGCAUUGCUAAUAUGUAGAUUACACCAACAUAGUCACAACGCAACGAGAAACAAAUUACAACCCUAGAUUGUUCUUUAAUUUAAAAGCUAUUUAAUAGAUAUUAAUUAAAUUAUAUUUAAAUCAAUAAAUUCAAGAAUAAGAUACAUGAUAAAUAUUUAUACUACUACGUAAAGCGCGGCGAUACGAAACUAACUCGACAAGAACGGGCUUAAUCGGAGUUAAAACGCGGAUUCUAUGGCUAAAACUAGGUCGGUGGCAAGAUAGUGAAUAAACAGAACUAUUUUUCGUAUUUUAAAUAAUUAAAACUGAAUUUUAAAAGCGUUUUGGACUAAAUCUUUAAAUACCAAUGGAUCCAGGGGCUAGAUUGCUAAAAAUAGGACUUAAACCUAAUUAUUUCCGAACUACUCAGAACUGCGGGUUAAUUUAGAAAAACCGCAGGGGCUUUUUCGCAAGAUGGCCAGGGUCAACCGGGUUUUGGCCGUGUUGACGGCCACGCGGCGCGGCGGGGUAGGUGGGGUGCAGGAGGCGCGCGCGGGGUGAGCCGCGCCCUAGGUUGGAGUGUGGGCGAGCUGGGCCAGGAGCGCGGGCGGCCCACGCGGCAAGAGUGAGGGGGGGAAGGGAGCUGGGCCGGGGAAGAGGGGGGACGGCCCAGGGAGAAAGAAAACCCUUUUUCUUUUUUUUUUAAAAAAAAUUGAUUUCUAAACUAUUUUACUAAACCAAUUUCAAAACCAUUUUGAAUUCCUAAUUUGAGAUUAUUUAGGAGCUUGUUUUCUUUAAUACUUUUGAAAACAAAGCACAUUUUCCUUAGAUCAUAUCUUUAAAUCAUUUUUCAACUCAAAAUGAAUUUAGUUUUCGAAUAGGACUUUUAGAUUUUUAUUUUUAUUUUUCUUUUCAAAAACCGAAAAGGGCCGAAACGGGCUCGAUAGAAAUUUUGAAAUUUAUUUUUUUACACAAGCCAAACAAAGCUAGGGCACAAAGCACACAAUAACAAAACAAAACACCCUUCACUUGUCUUUAUAAAAGUUUUAAAAUUCCAAAUUUUUCUCUUUUUAUAAUAACAACAAUUAAUAAAAUCUUGCAAUAUUUUAGAAAAAAUUUAAAUCCUUAUUUAAUUUAGUGUUUUUCAAAUAACAAUCCAAAAAUUAAAAAUUUUGGAGUGUUAUAGAUCUACCCCACUUAACAUAAAUCUCAUCCCGAGAUUUGAAGAAACUAGAGAGAAAGAUAAAGUAGAUCAUCAAAGUUGUUUUGAGACUUUCAAGACAUGAUCAAAGAAUUAAAUAUAGACAUAAAGGGUAGAGAGUAUGGUAAAGAUUGAAGACAAGGAAAGAUAAUCGUAUGAGAGAAGAAUUGAUCUUUGGAUCGUGUAUUAUGAUAAGGUGCAAGGGCAAGAAGCCAAUAUUAACAAGAGAUGAUACAUAGGAGAUGGAUAUAAUAUUGCUCACAAUUUCCUUGAUUCCGGGUAUGUAUAAGAUAGUAGACGAAAGGAUAAAGAAUUAGCAGAAGUUGACAAAGACUUAGAUUUUUUUUUAAGUCUUCACGCUUAAUCAUUUGUAGUCCUAUGAGACGUAGGAUCAAAGAUCGUCGAUUGGCAAACAUGAUAAGGGUUCAUCGCAAGAAUGAUAAAGAUUCUUAUAUAGUUCUCCAUGUCUUUCUGAUUAGAGAUUUUCGAGAGUGAUGAUCGUAGCGAAUGCUGCCCCACUUAGACCAAGUGUUUGCUCAUCUUCAAAACUCCUAUAUAAGAACACUCAUCUUGUCCGUAGAUAAUCUGCAAAGUUUUCCUUUGGAGGUUACUAGUUCGACAAUACACUGCACCUCUUAAGAUUUGAGGGACACGAAGAGAAACAAAAAGAUGAUUAGAAAGAAUAGAUUGAAAUAAUCUCAGGUAUCUCAAUAAAGGUGUGAGACUUAAACCAAAAGUCGAUAAGGUUAUCUAGUAGAAGGUUCUUGAACAGUAUCUAGAAAAGCAACCCAAGGGGUCUGCUAAGAUUGACCAUAUAUCGGUAUGGUUUUCAUUUGACUUUCAGGUUAUGGAUUUUGUCACGUGAUAGUCCAUCAUAUAUUCCAGGGUGAAAAAUAAGUCUUAUCUUAGGACCUCGGUUUCUUAAUGCCUUGCUUUGAUAGGUCAACAGGCAUCACACUUUCUAUGAUACUUGGUGCUUCUUUGUGGUCUCCAUAGAUGAGUUCUAAGCAGAUUUGACCUACUACUUGCAGUGUCGGGAGAAUGAUGCAAGAAAGAACUACACAAAGGAUGUUGACUCAUUCUAUAAGGAGUAUUUAAGAUCGCUUCAUAGGUAAGCACUACCACUUGAUGUUGGGACAACACUAGGUGCUUCGCCCAAGGUUCCGUCGGUUACCAUAAAAAGACUGAACAUCUGGUCAAACAACUCAUUACUCAUACUAGAAGCUUAAGAAUGAUAAGGUCUGAUGAAAUAGAUGUCUCACUUUACAAAGAGGAUUACAAGUUGCUUGAAUGCAAAAAAUCUUUAUAAGCUAAAAGGCAUAACUGACUUUAGAUUUCAUAGACCAUUAUUGACUAGCUCAAAACUAUCUGGGUCCCUUAAUAUAACUUGCUUCACAUAAGAUGUUGAGAAUAUAUCGCCUUUGUAUAAGGUCCACAUUUCUUUCAAACUGCCUCGUUGUCGAUACAAUCAUUACAUUAGUCCUUUAAACCUUGGGGUGAGGUCGAGGUGCCUUCAUACACAAACCUGUCUCCUGAUGGGGUGAUUAGGGAUACUGAGUGUUGGGUACAAUCAAUCUCUCCAUGACAAGCAGUUAACCAUCCUCUUCCAAGAACGACAUCAAUCUCCAUUGACUCUAGGACUAUAAGAUUUACCUCAAAAAUUACACAUUUUAUGUCGAGACAAACUUUUGGACACAUGUAGAUUGCUCUUAUUUUCCCUCUUGGUGAUUUGACCAGUAUGAGUCUCUUCAUUUCCAACAUAAGCAUCUUAGGAUCGGCAACACAUUUACUCGAGAUAAAAGAAUGUGAAGAACCUGAGUCGAACAAAACAGUGGCAGGAGUUGAGUUGACUAGAAUUGAUCCAAACACCACAUUUUGUGCUUCGCAAGCAGUACACAUAUCCACAUGGUUCAAUCUACCAUUAACAUAGUCACGAACUGGGUACUUCUUUGGACAAUGCUUCUUGUGAUGUCCCUCUUCGUGACACUGGUAACAAGCAUUGCUAACAGUUUUAACAUAGGUGCCAUCCUAACAUUGAGCUCCUUGAAUUGAUGUGCUAGGAGUAACUAAAGUGCUACUAACUUGUUGGUUCUGAGGGUUCACUUUCAAUGGAGUCUCUUCACUAUUUCGCUUCUUAGCUUGAUUACUUUUUCGAGGAUGAAGUUCUGUGUAGGUGACAGUCCAUCCAUCUAGGAAUAACUCUGGCAUAGCAAGUGUAGCUGAAGGGGCAUCUAACUCUUCAAGAUAUGAGUGUGUCUGAUGAGAGUUUGGAGCUAAAUCUAAUUGCCAUGUAGAACUCAGAUUUGGCUCAACACUUAACAGUGGCUCUAGGGAGAUUGCCUUCUUUUCUUGUUACCUUCAGUCUGUUGAUCCUAGGGUACUUCUACCUUUCCUUCGCUUGACUUUUUCUAAAGGCACGGUAAACCAUAAUAUCUGCAACAAUUACAUGGCUCUUGAAUCCCAAGCGCCUCAUUAAUACCAUCUGUUGACGGUCCUUGAGUAUCAAAUUUAAUUAUCAAAUAAACAAAGAAAAUGAUCCAAAUGAAAUCAACAUCUAGACUUAGGGUUUUAUCUAACAGAAUUCCACGAGUUUUGGUGUUUGUCUAUUUUUGCAGGGGGUUAUCAGGAAUACGGAAGAAAGGCCCACAUGUUAGGAUUACAUAGAGAUAUUAACGUGCCGCGCAAUUAUCUUACAUCUAGAAGACUCCAGAAGCCACGAGACCGAAGCGGAGGCGAAACGGGGCCAGAGGCAGGGCGCCCGCCCUCCUGCCCUGGGCGCCCGCCCCCUCCCUGAGUCCAAUCAGGACUCUGCUUCGUGGGAGAUCUCCACCGACAUAAAGGAUGAAUCUAAACCAUACAAUCUAUGUCGGUUUGAUCCAACGGCCCAUAUUCACUUGAAGGGACUAUAAAACCAGACCCCCUGGCCCCUGGAGGAGAGAGCCUCUCAACCCUAAUUCAUUGUUCUUCAAGGGAGAAGAAGCCUCUGAUCAAGAUUAGAGCCACCACAUCAAUUGGAUAUCUAGAUUAGCAUAGCUACAUAGGAUUAGAACUAGAAGGAGUCAAUCUUCGAUUGGUUUCCGGAUCUGUCAAGAGGAUUCUUGGUAAUUUUCUAAUUGUGCUUCUAAUUACUUUCUAAUUAUCUUUGUUCUUCAAUAUUAUGAAUAUGACUUUGUUCUACUUCAAUAUAUUGCUUAUGACUUUGCUCUACUUGCUUAUAUUCAAGAUUAUAUUGUUCUUAGUUUAUCAUAGUUAUGUACUUGGCUUAGUUAGAUUGGAUCUAUAUACAUGCUUAGGAUCGUAUAGCGUUUAUAAAUCGAAUCCAUGGGUAAAUGAUAGAUAUUGUGUAGGCGUGGUGCUUAUACCGUAUUUAUCUGCGAUUGUACCCGAUAUGCCAGAUCGUGGGGUGGUUCGUGAUAGUGACAGCUUCAUUGAUUCUUAUAUAGUCCCCCUCUUGUGUAUUGGGCGGGCAGAGCAACAUUAUUACAGGGGAGUGAUUGCUAUGUUUCUCAUAUUCCUUGCUAAUAUCACUAUGCAUGGGCGUAGUCUUGUAUCGCAAUGAUUGCUAAGUAUGCUUGCACUAACUAUGAUAUGCUAGACUAUAUAGUUAAGAAUAACUUAGGGAAUAUUCUUGUAGUUCGUUUUAAUACCAUGCUAAUGACUUUCUAGAGUAUCUAAUUGAGGUGCUUAUCAUAUUUAUUAUGUGGCUAGAUCAGAUUAGUUAUCCUUGUCACUAUUAUUAUUUCAUAUAUCUUUUAUGUGACACUUAUCCCUGUAUGAAGAGUUAGAUAAAUGUUCUCAAUUAUACAUGCAAUGAUAGAUGCUCAAUCUCAUAUUCUAUUCUGUAAUCAAUAUUGAUGAUUGCUAAUCCCUUCCCAGUGGUAAAAAUAUAAAUAACGAUACCUGGAAUACCUCUCGGUUAAAAUGCUACAUCGGUAUUAAUCUGUGCGCUUGCAGAUCCCAUUCAUUAUUUAUUUAGAAGAGCAAUUGCAUUUUUCAAUACCGCGUCUCUCAUGUCAUGCUGGGGAUGACAACUUGGCUUAAGUGGUAUGAGGGAUAGGUUUGGCAUUUUUGGCACCGUUACUAGAUUUAGAGAACUUAGUCUACUUUUGGUAAUGAUGUUAAGAAUACCCAACACCAUCUUUCCUAGUUUCCAUGUUCCUCCAGACUUCUACUAUUUGUCUCUUCAUUGCUCCUUCCUGAGUUUUGGUCAUUGUCUUCUCUGAAUGUAACUAAGAAUCUUUUUGUGGUCCCACUACACUUAGUACUUGAUCCUGUGUAAACAAAGGCUUCUCCUUGUUUACUAGUGACAAGGGUAACAUGGUUGGGUCUUUCUGACAUUUGAUGUAAGCUUCUUCUAUGUCACCUUGGAGAAGUAGAGCUUGUACAAUCAAAAGUUUCUAGAGUCUAGCCAUCUGAUCAGCUGCCAUCUUUAGGAUCUGAGCUUGCCAGGCUAUCACCUAUUCACCACUUAGUUGUGUUGUAGAAGGCAUUUGUUGACUCUGAUCACUGGUAUUAAUUCCUUUGACAUCAUCACUGGUGUCGAUCAUCUGACAUUAGGCAAUAGUAGAACGAGCUAGGGUAGUAUGGACAAAGAGCAUGAUAUGAAGUGAGAGAAAAUAGGUGGAGAGGAUCAAGAUUGACAAUAGAUGGAUAGGAUAAGAGAGAUUACUACCCCACUUAGCAAAGAUCGAGCUAACCCUCAAACAACUUCUUCUAGACCUCCUUCAAAACACUAGAACAAAGACAACACACAAACAACAAACCAAGCAAAACAAGCACGCAACACAUCAACGAUACUACACGUGCUUCUUCAACAGUGGUGGUCAUCCUAAAAGGUAGGUCUGAGAUGAUGAAGGGCCAUCGACAUUGGGAAAUAAAGCAAGUUUUGAAAACUUAAGUAAAACACCUAAUAAACAAAAGCCAAGGAGAUAAAUAGAAAUAGCUCAAAGGAAGCUAUUCAAGGAGGGGAUAUAACAUGACAAGGAUGAAGAAAUAGUCAGAAUCAAAUAGUCAAGGGACGAGAAAAUAGUUUUAUAUCAAAAUAAGCUUUAGAAAUCGACCAGUGCUAUCUAGGCAUACGUCCUAUAGUCAACAUUGCUCUGAUACCAUUCCUAUCACACCCUGGUUUAAAAAAAUAAACCAGAGUCAUCAUAUGUGUGCCCAGAAAGUCCACACAUAUAACAAAAGAAUAGAAAUAUCAGAAACAAUGUUAUAUAUAGUGGAAAACAUAUUUACAAUAACACUUACAAACAUCAGAGUAUGCGGAAAUAGUAGCUAAACUUCUUUGGCUCCAUUCUUCUCAGGGACGGUUGACUGGGGGCUCCGUAUGCCAAGCACUUCUCAUAAGCUUCUAGAAAUCUCCAUGACAUCUUAACCUUCUUCUGAGCAGCACUUUGCUACGCACUGGGGGUGUGGGGGAAAUAGCAAGGGUGAGUUCAUGUCGAACUCAACAAGUACAGGUGGAAAGUAUAAUGACAUACAAGGCUUAAUCAAAGGAAAAGGUGACACUGUUUAACUGCAGGUGAGCUUUUAAGUUGGUAAACUUUUAUUACGAUUCUUUUAUUAAAACAACCUAUUACUAAAUAUGAGUGAAGCAUCCCAACCCUUAAUUAGAUGAAAGUAAAUUAAUAAUAUUAUUACUCAUCUUUAUAAUUAUUGUUAUUGUUAAGAUCUCCGAGGUAGCAACCUCAAAUAGUAACUCGGGGUAGCAACCCCAUUAAGGUCAUGGGAUAGCAAUCCCAAUUAAGAACACAGGAUAGCAAUCCUGCCAACACGGAAUAGCCAUUCCGCCAAAGCAUGAGGUAGCAACCUCAACCAAAUUUUGCCUCCAAGUUCCAUGUUAUUCCAAUUUGCUCAUCAUAUGAGAGUCUGGGCCACUCGUGACCGUGAGCAUGGCUGAUAUAUCAGUUUUACACUCUGCAGAGGUGUGCACUUUCACUCCAAGUCGUGAUUCCCAUUCGCCCGGGGUCGCGACUCUCCAAAACACUACCAAGGUGAGCAGGCAGGGUUUCACUAUGGGAUCUUUCACGGGGUCCGACUAAUAGGAUGCCACUCGUAAGUUUUUGCCGAGGCGCGCGGCAGCCGUGCCCAUAGCAAUGGGACCCCGAACUGACCGACCUCUUAAUAUGAAUACCCAAGCUACUUCCUUACGCCUACCCAAAAAGUAACACCCUACCAGCGGAGGUCCUAAUAAUUAGUCAAGCUAGAGCCAUAUGGCUUGGAGCUGCACUGUAUGUCCCAGGGGGGCGCUCCAUGACUAAGUACUUAUGGAGAGCAGAGAUGGGUACGCCCGGCAACCGGGCCAACCAACAGUACCCGCUCCCCCUUUCCGCAACAAACCACGAUGCUCACAAGCACCACAACAUCUUCGUCACCGAAGUGACCAUUAUCCACCAUUGGAGCAUUAUUUAUCAUUGAAGAAUUCAUUAGGCAAGAUUAUUACUUUUAUUAUUAUAUAGAUUAGAUGAGCAGAGCAGCUAAGCAUAACUACUAUUCACUAUUCUACCCAUAUAUAAAACCGAGUACAAGGAAUACAAUAGAAGGCUAGUCAGGUCGUUAGGGUUUGCAGUAUUAAGACACAUGCAGUUAAAGUGAAUAUAAUUAAAGUUCAUAGGUACAAUAUGAUCAAAGGGUGCCUGCACUUGCCUUUAUUCCCAGUGUAUAUCUGCUCAGAAUUCUUUGACUUCUUUCUUGUGAUCUUUAUCUUCUACUGCAACUGUUGGUCCUCAGCUCCUGGUCUUCACUGUUGACGAACCACACUUCUUCUACUCGAAGCAAACAAGCAACACAAAUAGACAAACAACAAUCACGACUAAGAUCAAACGACACUCAAAAGAAAAGCUUAGAAAGAGCGCACUAAAGGACAUGGCUUGUUGCUAUGAUCGAGACAACGCGAGAACGAUUAAGAACAGAGCUAUCGUUAAACAGACACGACUUUCAAGGUUUAAAGUGUAACGGAGAAGAGAACUAUACGCUGGUCGUAUUUUGUGAACACAGGUCAUGGAUUAUUCAAAGAAAUAUCUGAAAGUUGAGUUGACCAAAUUAUAAAGAAUUAUAAAGGUUAGGGUUAAAUGUUAGUCAUAUUCUAUUUAAUUAAUAAUUAUAUACCACUGAAGCCAAUCAAGCAUUUAUAGAAUAUAUGAAAGCAACUAAUCGAGUGAUUAUAUAUCAUGUUUAAACUAAUCAAGUUGUAAUUAAUAAAGAAACAUUAAGGUUGAUAUUAAUAACAUGGGCAUUUAUUUAUUUUCAAAAGAUCAAAAUUAUAAACAUAAUUUACUUUUAAUUCAAAAUGACUUUAGAUAGAUAUUACUAAAUUAUUUAUGUGCUUCAUGUUUAAAUAAGCAAAUUAUAAUUAAGAAAGUAUUUAAGUUCACAUUUGAUUAUAAAGAUGCCGAAGUGUAAUUCUAAGUUGUUUUUAAAUUAAUUAAAUAGAAAUGCAUUUAAAACAUUAAUCAGAUUAAUUAUACUCAUAAACAUGAGACAAUGAAAAUAGCAUUGCUAAUAUGUAGAUUACACCAACAUAGUCACAACGCAACGAGAAACAAAUUACAACCCUAGAUUGUUCUUUAAUUUAAAAGCUAUUUAAUAGAUAUUAAUCAAAUUAUAUUUAAAUCAAUAAAUUCAAGAAUAAGAUACAUGAUAAAUAUUUAUACUACUACGUAAAGCGCAGCGAUACGAAACUAACUCGACAAGAACGGGCUUAAUCGGAGUUAAAACGCGGAUUCUAUGGCUAAAACUAGGUCGGUGGCAAGAUAGUGAAUAAACAGAACUAUUUUUCGUAUUUUAAAUAAUUAAAACUGAAUUUUAAAAGCGUUUUGGACUAAAUAUUUAAAUACCAAUGGAUCCAGGGGCUAGAUUGCUAAAAACAGGACUUAAACCUAAUUAUUUCCGAACUACUCAGAACUGCGGGUUAAUUUAGAAAAACCGCAGGGGCUUUUUCGCAAGAUGGCCAGGGUCAACCGAGUUUUGGCCGUGUUGACGGCCACGCGGCGCGGCGGGGUAGGUGGGGUGCAGGAGGCGCGCGCGGGGUGAGCCGCGCCCUAGGUUGGAGUGUGGGCGAGCUGGGCCAGGAGCGCUGGCGGCCCACGCGGCAAGAGUGAGGGGGGGAAGGGAGCUGGGCCGGGGAAGAGGGGGGACGGCCCAGGGAGAAAGAAAACCCUUUUUCUUUUUUUUUAAAAAAAAUUGAUUUCUAAACUAUUUUACUAAACCAAUUUCAAAACCAUUUUGAAUUCCUAAUUUGAGAUUAUUUAGGAGCUUGUUUUCUUUAAUACUUUUGAAAACAAAGCACAUUUUCCUUAGAUCAUAUCUUUAAAUCAUUUUUCAACUCAAAAUGAAUUUAGUUUUCGAAUAGGACUUUUAGAUUUUUAUUUUUAUUUUUCUUUUCAAAAACCGAAAAGGGCCGAAACGGGCUCGAUAGAAAUUUUGAAAUUUAUUUUUUUACACAAGCCAAACAAAGCUAUGGCACAAAGCACACAAUAACAAAACAAAACUCCCUUCACUUGUCUUUAUAAAAGUUUUAAAAUUCCAAAUUUUUCUCUUUUUAUAAUAACAACAAUUAAUAAAAUCUUGCAAUAUUUUAGAAAAAAUUUAAAUCCUUAUUUAAUUUAGUGUUUUUCAAAUAACAAUCCAAAAAUUAAAAAUUUUGGAGUGUUAUAGAUCUACCCCACUUAACAUAAAUCUCAUCCCGAGAUUUGAAGAAACUAGAGAGAAAGAUAAAGUAGAUCAUCAAAGUUGUUUUGAGACUUUCAAGACAUGAUCAAAGAAUUAAAUAUAGACAUAAAGGGUAGAGAGUAUGGUAAAGAUUGAAGACAAGGAAAGAUAAUCGUAUGAGAUAAGAAUUGAUCUUUGGAUCGUGUAUUAUGAUAAGGUGCAAGGGCAAGAAGCCAAUAUUAACAAGAGAUGAUACAUAGGAGAUGGAUAUAAUAUUGCUCACAAUUUCCUUGAUUCCGGGUAUGUAUAAGAUAGUAGACGAAAGGAUAAAGAAUUAGCAGAAGUUGACAAAGACUUAGAUGUUUUUUAAGUCUUCACGCUUAAUCAUUUGUAGUCCUAUGAGACGUAGGAUCAAAGAUCGUCGAUUGGCAAACAUGAUAAGGGUUCAUCGCAAGAAUGAUAAAGAUUCUUAUAUAGUUCUCCAUGUCUUUCUGAUUAGAGAUUUUCGAGAGUGAUGAUCGUAGCGAAUGCUGCCCCACUUAGACCAAGUGUUUGCUCAUCUUCAAAACUCCUAUAUAAGAACACUCAUCUUGUCCGUAGAUAAUCUGCAAAGUUUUCCUUUGGAGGUUACUAGUUCGACAAUACACUGCACCUCUUAAGAUUUGAGGGACACGAAGAGAAACAAAAAGAUGAUUAGAAAGAAUAGAUUGAAAUAAUCUCAGGUAUCUCAAUAAAGGUGUGAGACUUAAACCAAAAGUCGAUAAGGUUAUCUAGUAGAAGGUUCUUGA